CAGUCGCCGCGGUAAUACGAAGGGGGCUAGCGUUGCUCGGAAUUACUGGGCAUAAAGGGCGCGUAGGCGGACAGUUCAGUCGGGGGUGAAAGCCCGGGGCUCAACCUCGGAAUUGCCUUCGAUACUGGCUGUCUUGAGUAUGAGAGAGGUGUGUGGAACUCCGAGUGUAGAGGUGAAAUUCGUAGAUAUUCGGAAGAACACCAGUGGCGAAGGCGACACACUGACUCAUUACUGACGCUGAGGCGCGAAAGCGUGGGGAGCAAACAGGAUUAGAUACCCCCGUAGUCCCUGUCUCUUAUAC
rnacentral:rRNA from 1 species